rnacentral:rRNA from 1 species
CUACGGGACGCACCAGUGGGGAAUAUUGCACAAUGGACGAAAGUCUGAUGCAGCAACGCCGCGUGGAGGAUGACACAUUUCGGUGCGUAAACUCCUUUUAUAUAAGAAGAUAAUGACGGUAUUAUAUGAAUAAGCACCGGCUAACUCCGUGCCAGCAGCCGCGGUAAUACGGGGGGUGCAAGCGUUACUCGGAAUCACUGGGCGUAAAGCGCAUGUAGGCGGACUUGUAAGUUGGAAGUGAAAUCCUAUGGCUCAACCAUAGAACUGCUCCCAAAACUGCUUGUCUAGAAUAUGGGAGAGGUAGAUGGAAUUUCUGGUGUAGGUGUAAAAUCCGUAGAGAUCAGAAGGAAUACCGAUUGCGAAGGCGAUCUACUGGAACAUUAUUGACGCUCAGAUGCGAAAGCGUGGGGAGCAAACAGGAUUAGAUACCCCAGUAGUC